UUGCCCCGGUAACUUCACUCAGUUGUGUGAUGUUCUCUUCUUCGAAAAGAGCUUCCGUGUCAGAAGGGGCGUGUUCGUCUCCCAUAGUAGGGUACGCUGCGUGUUUUCAAUGGCGAAUGUCCCGGGUGACGUCACGGGCAGGGGAUGCAGCCACUAUUGCGACGACUUGGAUGUUGUCAAAUGACACGUCCGCAACUUUGCGCAUGGAUGACGCGCUCUCUGCUCAUAUUUAUUUUUCGUAUCGACAACUUCAGCCCAAAAGACAUCAAAGUUUAACUAAAAAAAAGAAUGAUUUGAUUGAACGGGACAAACGGUGCUUGCAAACAUCGCUAAGAAGCAGUCGUAUUGGAGUAGUUUAGAACUUCAGCGUUUUUGUCUUUGGCUUUCGUAUUCCGCAGCUAAUUGACAAGGUCCCGCUCGGGCGAUUAGCCACCAACGCCAUUAGGAUUGGCCGCCGACGAGGCGGCUCACCGGACUCCCAUCAUGGGAGGAAGUGGGUGGCGGUCUCCGGACCUCGGGCACAUUGUAGCCUACUUUACUCUUCCUGCCGUGUUGUUGAAGUCACGAACUGAGUGUCUUACAAAAAACUGUGACUGAAACUGGUUUUCUUUUCUGGAAAAAAAAAAAAAAGGGUAUUUAUCUUUUCUUCCAGUGCUAGACUCCGUGGCAUUUUCUGUAUACAGUGCAUGCAAUUCUCCCCUGGCUCCAGUGUGUAUCGAUCCAUUAUCCAAGCCACCUAUCCUCACAAGGGUCACAGGAGAGCUUGAACCCUAUCCCAGCUAGGCAGACUACACGCCGAACUGGCCGCCAUUGAGAUAUGGACACCAUCAGUGAAAGGAAAUCGGUCCCACGCUGCCUGCACCAAAGUCAGUUCCUCAGAGUCACCUGAAAGGUUGAAGAGCAACGCAAGAUGGAAGGCGAGCGCUUCCUCGCCUGUUGAUGACUUGCGCUCCAAUCAGUGACGAAAUCCUCCCGACUUCCUGACUGACUGCUACGUCGGCACUUCCAAAUAUGGGCACGGUUGGCAUUUGCUGCAAGGGGAUGCUGAUUUCGCACAAGUUUCCAGCUAAGCAAGUGUGACGUGAAAAGGUAUUUGAUCGACCAAUUCCAGUCAGUGUCUGAUUCAAUUGAAUCAUCCCAGUGUAGCUUCAGUCAUUGAACUAAUUCAGAUGAAUCAUCUCAGCCUAUUGUGCUUCCAGUGAGUCUGUAAACUUCAAUGUGAUAUGUUUGGAUCCUUUUAGUUUCGACUCUACCGUGUUGUUGUGUGAGUCAGCAAACUCUUACAACCAAAUCUCAUGAGUCUAAAUGUGGGUCAAAGAACUGAUAUCAGUCUGCUAAAUUGAGAGAGGGAAUCACCUCAAUUGAAUCAUUUCCAAUGUUUUGCCAGCAAAUCAGUCAAUUAACUGACAUCCAGUUCAUCAGAAUCUUCUCAGUUUAUGACUCCAACUCAAGCAAAUCAUCAGAGUCGACCUACUUGAGCAAGUCAAUCGGCACAACUGCAGUGUACUCCCCUUGAGUCAGUUUAGUUGAGUCAAUGGAAUGAUGGAACUGAAUCAACUGAGUCCACAUUGUUUUUCUUGCUUUGCUUUAACACUUUGUACUUUUUGUCUCCCUCAAAGCAGUGUGAGUGAUGUCACUGAUCCAUAUUGUGAAUAAACGAACUCUAAAGU